UACGUAGGGUGCAAGCGUUAAUCGGAAUUACUGGGCGUAAAGCGUGCGCAGGCGGUUAUGUAAGACAGGUGUGAAAUCCCCGGGCUUAACCUGGGAACUGCAUUUGUGACUGCAUAGCUAGAGUACGGUAGGGGGGGAUGGAAUUCCGCGUGUAGCAGUGAAAUGCGUAGAUAUGCGGAGGAACACCGAUGGCGAAGGCAAUCCCCUGGACCUGUACUGACGCUCAUGCACGAAAGCGUGGGGAGCAAACAGG
rnacentral:rRNA from 1 species